AUAAUUGAUUUAUAUAAAGGGUAAAUUGUUUCUUUGUAAAUUUCAGACUCAAAUUUUUUCUCAAUAUGAAUAUAUGAUUUAAAUAUUAUAUUCGGAAGUUAUAACAAUAUUUUUAUAAAAGAAUUUAUUUGAAGAAUAGUCAACAAAUUGACUAAUUAAGUUAAUUUAGUGUUAGGAUUAAAUUGAAAUUUAAAUUUGAGAUAAGGGCUAAAAGUAGAGUUGAAUUAAUAUAUGGGGAUUAAGUGGAAAAUAUAUUGGUUGGUAUUUUCUAAACAAGUGUGUCAGUAGGGGCAUUAAGGUAAUUUUCAAAUUAAAAGUAAGGUUAUAAAAGUAAUUUUAUUUUUCAAAAUUGUAAAUUAAACCCAAAUUUAAAGGAUUAAUGAUCUAUUUAAAAGAACAAAGAAAAACUUAAGGACUAAAUAGAACUUAACCAGGGCCAAAUGUAAUAAAGAAAAAAAAAGAGGACUAAGUGGGGCUAUGGGACGAAAAAGAAGAAAAGAAAGAAAGAGAAAAGAAGAAGAAAGAGACGAAGGAGAGGAAGAAGGGAAGCUUAAGCUUCCAUUAAUGACAGUAGCAAGGGGAGAGGGAAUUAGAGGCCAAAACUUCGGCUGGAGGGGGAGUUAAUGCCAACAACUCAACAGCGACAACGACAACGUUAGAUGGUGGUUAUGGGUAGCAAAUGGAGGAGCUGAAGUUUUUGCCACCAAAACUUUGACUCGUCGGAUCUUCCUCCUUCGGCGACAGUGGUAGCUGAAAUAGGUGACAAUCAACUCAUCUAUGUGUGGGCUUUCCAUUGGGGGCAGCAGCAGUGACAACUCAUCUAUACUGACUACUCAUGUAGCUUGAUUGAAGGUUACUUUCUCCUAAGCUUACAAUGUCUUCUGAUUAGCGAAAGAGAGAGGGUGAACCGCCAACAUAUUAUAAGUUUCAGAAUUCUUCUUAAUCUUCACUACAUUUACAAUUUUACACUUCAUAUUGGAGUGAUUGGUUGAUAAUGUGACAUGCAUUAUAAUCAUCUGUUGUAUAAAUAGGAAGGUUCUGUUUGUUUGUAGUACAUUACUGAGCUUUUUGAAAAUUUGUAUGUUGACAUUGUGCAUUUUACUUGUCAGUAUCCUGAGUAUUUUUCAAUACAAUGGUAUACUCUAGAUGACACCAAUAAGUUUGGCGAUAUUGGGUGGAUAGACUUCUAUUCUUCCAAUAAAAUCUCUAGAUUGGAAAUUGAUAGGAUGGCUAGUAACUUGGUUUGAGGCCUGAAGAUUUCAAAAUAAUGUAGAAAAAUCCUAAAAAGAUAGUAUUUGGGGGGUGGAGGAAUUUAGACACUGACAAUGAUGCAAUUGAGAUGUCAUUGUUUAUAGAUGAGACAAAAAUAAUGCAUGUUUAUUAUAGGAAGAAGGAAGAAGCACUAAUUGCAGGUAAUGUAUGAGAUAAAAAUGGUAAUGAUGCCGGUGAGGUUAAUGCAGAGGAUGAAGGGUAUAUUACAUGGGAAAAUCUAGAUGAGAGUAAUUUUGUUGAUUCUGAUUAUGACUCGAGGGAAUCUGAUGUGGAUAAUGAUGAUGAGCUUUUUGAGCAGUAUAUGGACAAGGAAAUAGAAAGGAAUGGGACAUUUGGAGGUGGCAGUGGUCAAGGUGGGGAUUCAAGAGAUGAUUCUGACCAAACUAUAUAUGCUCCUUUUGAUGUGGUGAGAUCCUGCUCAUCAAGUGAUGAUGAGAGUGAUGAGAGUUCAAAGAAGUGUUUAAUGAAGAAACUGACAUGUAUAAUCCAAAAUUCAAAUUAGGAAUGCUUUUUACUUCUUUUAGGCAGUUCAAGGAAGCUGUAAAGAACUCUGCCAUUAGAACUAGGGAUCAGGUUAUUUUUGGACCUAACACAAAGACAAAAUGUAAGAAGGGUUGUGGUUUCUAUAUCUGGACAUACCUCACCAUACCAAAUAAAAGUGUUGUUUAGAUUAAGAGUGCCAGUUUUAAUCAUUCCUGUAGGAAAGAGAACUACAACAAGCAUGUGAAUGCCAAGUUUGUUGCUAAAUACUAUCUUGAGAGUUUUAGAGUAGAUCCAACUUGGUCCAUUGAAGAUAUAAUUGUUGUUGUCAUGAGGGAUUUUAAUGCACAAGUUUCAAGACUUCUAGCAUGGAGAGCUAGGGAAAGGGCUUUGAGAUGCAUUAAUAGUGAUGAGAAGGAGCAACUAUCAAAGCUCCAUGAUUACAAACUUGAGCUAUUAAGGAGCAACCUAGGCUCUACCAUUGUGUUUGACUUGGAUGUAGGAGUUUUUAAGUCAAUGUAUGUUAUCUAGCAGGGGUUCAAGAAGUGCAGGCCAUUUAUUUCAAUUGAUAGGACUUGGUGAAGGGCAUUAUUGGUGGGCAGCUAUUAACAUCAUUUGGAAUAGAUGCUAAUGAUUGCAUCUAUCCAAUUGCUUAGGCAGUGGUGCAGAAGGAAAAUAAGGACAAUUGGAAGUGGUUCCUUGAACUUCCUGCUGAAGAUGUUGACAUUGGACAUAACAGGCAUUAGACAUUCAUGUCUGACAAACAAAAGGUUAGUACUUCAAUGAUUGUUUUUUUUCUUUCCUUGACUAUAUCAUUGCUUAUUAAGAUUUAUAUUGCAUUUACACUUUGGUUCAGGGUUUGAUUCCAACAAUAGAAGAACUCUUCCCUGGUGCAGAACAAAGAUUUUGUAUUAGACAUAUUUAUACAAACUUUAGGAGAUUUCAUAAUCUAGGAUUGAAACCACUAGUUUUGGCAGCUGCAUAGUCAAGCUAUGUACCUAUGUUUUGAGAGAGUUAUGGAGGCAAUUAAAAAAUAAUCUAGGGGGCUCAUGAUUAUUUGAGUAACAUAGCUUACUAUCAUUGGAGUAGAUCACAUUUUAGAACAACCCCUAAGUGUGAUAUGUUGUUAAAUAAUCUAUGUCAAUGUCUCAAUAGCUUUAUAUUAGAAGCUAGGACUAAAGGGGUGAUAAGGAUGAAUGAGAUUAUAAGGACUAAAUUGAUGAAAAGAAUACACAAAAGAGAGGUGCAAUGUUGAGGGUUGCAACUAUUUUUUGCCUUAAGAUUUACAAGAAACUUGACAAGUCAAUAAAGGGAAGUACUAAGUAUACCAUUGAGUGGUUAGGGGUAACAAAUAUCAAGUUGUAGGACCUGGUGGACAGUAUGUAGUGAAUAAAAAAGAUAGGAGUUGUACCUGUAGAAAAUGGAAUUUAAUUGUAAUCCCUUAUGCACAUGUUAUUAGUGCCAUUUAUUACCAUAAUGACAAUCCUGAAAAUCUUUUGGAUGACUACUACAAGGUGACAACAUUCCUAGAUAUUUACAGUCAUAUCAUAAAUCCAACUACAUCAAGUGACAAUUGGCCUAAGGCCACUGCACCACCUAUCAUGCCACUUGACCGUGUGCAACCUGUGAAGCCUAAAAGGGGCAAAUCACCUCUGAAGAGAAGACUUGAAAAAGAGGAGAUUGAAGCCCUUAUCAAGAAUGAAAAGGUGAGAAAGAAAGGAUGUGUCAUGAAUUGCUCUGUGUGUCAGAGCACAGAGCAUAAGAAGACCUCCCAUAAGAAGGGCAAGAGUGUAGAAUAAUAAAGAAAUUGAUUGUGAAGAAAAAGAAAGUUGGAAAUGUUGAAUCCACAGCCCCUGAACCUGAUAAUGUUGGUUAUGACUAUAGUAAUACUACUGUGGCAUGAGGAAGUACCAAUUGCAAAUAAAAAUGCUGGUGUACAUGAUGAUGUUGGUGGAGAAAAACAUGAUAAUGAGUUUGAUGGUCCCAUAAGAACUACAUCAACCUUUAAAGGAUAUAUUUAAUUAUACCAAGUUCAUAGAUGCAAAAACCGACCUCAUUUAUUGACAUACCAAGCAACAUGGUGCCUGUUGAUGAAGUUUUCAAUAGUUGGUUGGAUAGACAUUCAUCCCCUAUUGCAUCACCAAAAACAGAUCUUGUUGCUUCCCCAGAUUCAUAAAGAUGUAGAAAUAUAUAUGACUUGCUCACAGAUCUACCUCUUUUUGGAAGUCAAGUUAGGAGACUCUCCAAGGAGAAGAUAAUUGGAACCAAAGAGAAUAAUCUGCAGAAACAAAAGAAUCUACAAAAAGAAAAGACAAAAAAACCAUCUCAAGCUGUUGUUGGAUCUACAGAGAAAUUGCAAAAAAAAGCCAAGUCAAGUUGUUGAAUUCUUUAGCCAGCAGAAGAAAAACAAGAAUGACAGUUUGUCCAAGAAAGAUCAAUUUGCUCAAGCUCCAUCCAAGAAUCUUAAACCAACUUUUGCUGAUAAAGGGAAGAUCAAGUUAGAUAAACCAGCUACAAAGAAAAAACCAUGGUUGCCUUCAUACAAUAGUGGUCAAAAUACAAACUCCAAAGAAACCUUCAAUUCCAACUCUAAACUCCAAUGGCCAAAAUACAAACUCCAAAAUUCCAGCCACAAAUGCAAUCUUAGUUUUAUGCUUUCCCAACAUUAGAAAUAUUUUUUCUUCUUUCUUUAAUUUCGCCUUCACUGUUUCGUAUGCCCCCUUGAAAUGCUCAAACUCUCCUUCAACAUACUGAAGCUGAAAUCUCUGCCACUCGAUUUCCCCUUCCAAUUCUUCCAUUCUCAGCUUGCACUCUCUGAGCUGCUCCAACUUAAACUCGUAUUUUGCAAAGGCUUCAUUGGCUUGAACUAAAGCAUUAUUCUUUUUGUCUCUUAGGUCAUCCAGAAGAUUUAAGCCACCUUGAACCCAUGCCAUUUGUCUUUCAUUGAAUCCCAUUGAAGUUAUGUGUCUUCGAUAUCUGUAACUUGAAUCCUUAGCAUACAUUGCCCUUGCUUCUCCCAUUUCGUGCUGGAUUUGGCUGGAGUUGUAACUAAUUCUGUUGAGCAGCUAGGGUCUUUUACAUUACUCUUCAAUUGCUUACCGUAAGCCUACAUGUCUUGACACUCCCUCUCAAAAGGAACAUGUAUGUUCAGCAUGUUCAUCUUGCUUAGCAAAUCCUCGAACUGUGAAGGAUGCAAAGCCUUAGUGAAAAUGUUUGCUAAUUGUUUUAUGGA